AAGAAUUAUAAACACUCAUUGACCUCUCGGAUUGGCUUUGUUUAGCCAUCAGCACUCCUUUGAGACCAUCCAAGUUUUGACCCAACAGUUGGUUCCUUCUCCAUCGCUGAGUACUUUCUACGGUGUAUAAGGACCACAGCUCAUCUCUUCAUCUGCUGGAUGACAACUGGCUGAGUCCUAGCUGGCAGCAAUGUUGGCAAGGUUGCUUCUGGGCCCAUGGCUAUCAUCUGCGGGUUACUGCAGAGCAGUCCUGAGAACCUGGGUCAGAUGCCACAGGCUGCUCUGCUGCUGGAAAGACAAUCCAACAAUUCAAGAAUACCCCAACAUUCAUGGUCACAUUCAGGGUCCUAUUUUCUGGACUGUGUUCUCUCCAGGGGAAGGACACACACACAUAGCUAUGUUCUUGUGUCCCCUGAGUGCUCACAGCAGUGCUGGUCUUAUCUGUAGAAAGUCCUGUGCACACACAAGUUCUAUUGGGCUCCUCUUGCUGGCUCUAUGAAGCCAUUGGACCUCCACAUGAUCCGGGUCUCAGGUGAAUGUUCACCUGAGCUGCCUAAGGUGUGUGACCCCCAAGGGUUAGGAAGCUGAGAGGUCAGGACUUGAGUUACCCCUAGGGUUUCUGGGUGACGUAUGCUGUUUUCCACAUGGGUGAACAAUGAGUUAGGGAAAGCUCAGCCAGGUGAGUCACAGCCAUAAACGCUAGGGCCAGGACCACGUAGGGUUCUUUCCAGCUCUCAGCUGCCUUCCCAAGAUGUUAAGACACACAUAGUCAAAGACGUACUCCUGAGGAGUGUUCAGGGAAAAAAAAGUCCCAUGAUUACAUGAACAAGUUUGGGAACUGGCUAGAGAUUUGAAAAUGUGAAGAAAUGAAUGUGUCCCAGAACCUAGGAAAGUGAAGUCAUGUGUGGCAUAAACGGGUCCAUCUGGAUCAAUGUGCCCCUGGCCCUGACCUGCCUGGGCAGUGUACAUGGAUGACCUGGGUGAAGUUCCACAGACCAGAGAAGAGCUGGAAAGCUGAGAGCUGGGAAGCCAGUCCUAUCCUCGUGAGCUGAGACUGAGUGACCACUUCAUGGGGGUCCUGAGGACACAGUGAGCUUGGACUGGGGAAAAUCCAGACUGCCACAGUGUUGCUGUGGUGUGUGCUCCCUGGGCGGCUGAGGAGAAAUGAACAAAAGCAUGCCCA
rnacentral:lncRNA from 1 species